AGCCAUCUGCAGACUCAGGCCUGGUCUCUACCCCCAGAAUUCAACAGCAAGUUGGAGUCCUCUCAUCUUUCAGAAUCACUUGCUUUUCCUUCUGAACCUUGGCGAAAUGUAUACAGACUGAGGAUGGAAAAUGGUUCACCCCCAUGGAAUUUGAAAUCAAAGGAGGCUACGCAAGAUCAAAGAACUGGAGGCUGAGUGUGCGCUGUGGCGAGUGGCCCCUACGACGGCUGAUGGAGGAAGGAUCUCUACCUAAUCCUCCAAGAAUAUAUUACAGGAACAGAAAGAGAAUACUGAAGUCUCAAAACAAUAGCUCAGUUGACCCUUGUAUGAGAAACUUGGAUGAGUGUGAGGUGUGCCGGGAUGGAGGGGAGCUGUUCUGUUGCGACACUUGUUCAAGAGUCUUCCAUGAGGACUGUCACAUCCCACCUGUGGAAGCUGAGAGAUGGGGAAGGAGCAGGUUCAUCGGGUACUGGGACCCAGCAGUGUGAUCCAGAGAGCAGUGGGAGACGCUGGCAGCAGGAGGACCCCGUGGAAUUGCAUCUUCUGCAGGAUGAAGGAGUCUCCGGGAAGCCAACAGUGUUGUCAGGAAUCUGAGGUCCUGGAGAGGCAGAUGUGUCCUGA
rnacentral:sRNA from 1 species